AGCAAGCGGGUUGUUUAUUUCGCUCGUGCUAUUAAAUUAGCGAUCGUUGCUAGAUUUUUUUUUUGUGGAGCACACUUGUCAACAGAUAAAAGGUCCUGCGAUGUCUUUUUACACAGCUCAAGCUAUGGCGCCCCCUGUAGGGGACAAGAUAUGAUCAUAUAUGUAUAUGAUCGAGCCUUCGGUUUGACCUUAGUUUUCCUUUUCUUUCACUUAAUUAAAUCACAAACCAGCAGUUUUAUAUUCUUCAAAAUUAUAAUCUCCAAUCAUUAAAAAAACGGUUCUCACAAAAAAAACAUUAAAAAAGGGAAUUGCUAAUGCAAGGUUGUACGUAACUAACUAGACACGUAGAGCUUCAAAUAUGGAUCAAGUCCGGAGAAGAUGAUCAAGCAGAGCGGUACAUGUCCUAUUGUUGAUUGAGAAAUCGUUUCUCAUGGACCGAUCCAUGGCCAUAAAAAAAAGACGUUUAAACAAUAAUACCAUUUUUCAGUUUUCAAAAUGUAAGUUUAAGCACUAAUCUGUACUGUAAUUACAAAACCUAAUAAAAUUGCCACAUUACGCAUGGGAAG
rnacentral:lncRNA from 1 species